rnacentral:rRNA from 1 species
UACGGAGGGGGCAAGCGUUGUUCGGAAUUACUGGGCGUAAAGGGCGCGUAGGUGGCCUUCUAAGUCGAACGUGAAAUCCCUGGGCUCAACCCAGGAACUGCGUCCAAGACUGGGAGGCUUGAAUCCGGGAGAGGGAUGCGGAAUUCCAGGUGUAGCGGUGAAAUGCGUAGAUAUCUGGAGGAACACCGGUGGCGAAGGCGGCAUCCUGGACCGGGAUUGACACUGAGGCGCGAAAGCCAGGGGAGCAAACGGG